rnacentral:rRNA from 1 species
UCCGCUGAAUUUAAGCAUAUAAUUAAGCGGCAGAAAAGAAAAUAACCAUGAUUCCCCUAGUAACGGCGAGUGAAGC